rnacentral:misc_RNA from 1 species
CCGAGUUAUACAACUCCCAAACCCACUGUGAACCUUACCUCAGUUGCCUCGGCGGGAACGCCCCGGCCGCCUGCCCCCGCGCCGGCGCCGGACCCAGGCGCCCGCCGCAGGGACCCCAAACUCUCUUGCAUUACGCCCAGCGGGCGGAAUUUCUUCUCUGAGUUGCACAAGCAAAAACAAAUGAAUCAAAACUUUCAACAACGGAUCUCUUGGUUCUGGCAUCGAUGAAGAACGCAGCGAAAUGCGAUAAGUAAUGUGAAUUGCAGAAUUCAGUGAAUCAUCGAAUCUUUGAACGCACAUUGCGCCCGCCAGCAUUCUGGCGGGCAUGCCUGUUCGAGCGUCAUUUCAACCCUCGAGCCCCCCCGGGGGCCUCGGUGUUGGGGGACGGCACACCAGCCGCCCCCGAAAUGCAGUGGCGACCCCGCCGCAGCCUCCCCUGCGUAGUAGCACACACCUCGCACCGGAGCGCGGAGGCGGUCACGCCGUAAAACGCCCAACUUUCUUAGA